UUCAAGCUUAUCGAUACCGUCUGUAGCGGUGAAAUGCUUAGAUAUCACGAAGAACUCCGAUUGCGAAGGCAGCUUGCUGGACUGUAACUGACGCUGAUGCUCGAAAGUGUGGGUAUCAAACAGGAUUAGAUACCCUGGUAGUCCACACAGUAAACGAUGAAUACUCGCUGUUUGCGAUAUACAGUAAGCGGCCAAGCGAAAGCGUUAAGUAUUCCACCUGGGGAGUACGCCGGCAACGGUGAAACUCAAAGGAAUUGACGGGGGCCCGCACAAGCGGAGGAACAUGUGGUUUAAUUCGAUGAUACGCGAGGAACCUUACCCGGGCUUGAAUUGCAACUGAAUGAUGUGGAGACAUGUCAGCCGCAAGGCAGUUGUGAAGGUGCUGCAUGGUUGUCGUCAGCUCGUGCCGUGAGGUGUCGGCUUAAGUGCCAUAACGAGCGCAACCCUUAUCGAUAGUUACCAUCAGGUUAUGCUGGGGACUCUGUCGAGACUGCCGUCGUAAGAUGUGAGGAAGGUGGGGAAUCAAGCUUAUCGAUACCGUCCUUACGUCCGGGGCUACACACGUGUUACAAUGGGGGGUACAGAAGGCAGCUACACGGCGACGUGAUGCUAAUCCCUAAAGCCUCUCUCAGUUCGGAUUGGAGUCUGCAACCCGACUCCAUGAAGCUGGAUUCGCUAGUAAUCGCGCAUCAGCCACGGCGCGGUGAAUACGUUCCCGGGCCUUGUACACACCGCCCGUCAAGCCAUGAAAGCCGGGGGUGCCUGAAGUUCGUGACCGCAAGGAGCGACCUAGGGCAAAACCGGUGACUGGGGCUAAGUCGUAACAAGGUAGCCGUACCGGAAGGUGCGGCUG
rnacentral:rRNA from 1 species